AGUCGAACGAGUUCCCGUUGAUUGACGUGCUUGCACUGAUUUCAACAUUGGAACGAGUGGCGAACUGGUGAGUAACACGUGGAAAACCUGCCCAGAAGCAGGGGAUAACACUUGGAAACAGGUGCUAAUACCGUAUAACAACAAAAACCGCAUGGUUUUUGUUUGAAAGGUGGCUUCGGCUAUCACUUCUGGAUGGUUCCGCGGCGCAUUAGCUUGUUGGUGGGGUAACGGCUCACCAAGGCGAUGAUGCGUAGCCGACCUGAGAGGGUAAUCGGCCACAUUGGGACUGAGACACGGCCCAGACUCCUACGGGAGGCAGCAGUAGGGAAUCUUCCACAAUGGACGCAAGUCUGAUGGAGCAAUGCCGCGUGAGUGAAGAAGGGUUUCGGCUCGUAAAACUCUGUUGUUGAAGAAGAACGGGUGUCAGAGUAACUGUUGACAUCGUGACGGUAUUCAACCAGAAAGCCACGGCUAACUACGUGCCAGCAGCCGCGGUAAUACGUAGGUGGCAAGCGUUGUCCGGAUUUAUUGGGCGUAAAGCGAGCGCAGGCGGUUUCUUAAGUCUGAUGUGAAAGCCUUCGGCUUAACCGAAGAAGUGCAUCGGAAACUGGGGAACUUGAGUGCAGAAGAGGACAGUGGAACUCCAUGUGUAGCGGUGGAAUGCGUAGAUAUAUGGAAGAACACCAGUGGCGAAGGCGGCUGUCUAGUCUGCAACUGACGCUGAGGCUCGAAAGCAUGGGUAGCGAACAGGAUUAGAUACCCUGGUAGUCCAUGCCGUAAACGAUGAGUGCUAGGUGUUGGAGGGUUUCCGCCCUUCAGUGCCGCAGCUAACGCAUUAAGCACUCCGCCUGGGGAGUACGACCGCAAGGUUGAAACUCAAAGGAAUUGACGGGGGCCCGCACAAGCGGUGGAGCAUGUGGUUUAAUUCGAAGCUACGCGAAGAACCUUACCAGGUCUUGACAUCUUCUGCCAAUCUUAGAGAUAAGACGUUCCCUUCGGGGACAGAAUGACAGGUGGUGCAUGGUUGUCGUCAGCUCGUGUCGUGAGAUGUUGGGUUAAGUCCCGCAACGAGCGCAACCCUUAUUAUCAGUUGCCAGCAUUCAGUUGGGCACUCUGGUGAAACUGCCGGUGAC
rnacentral:rRNA from 2 species